rnacentral:rRNA from 1 species
UAGGGAAUCUUCGGCAAUGGACGGAAGUCUGACCGAGCAACGCCGCGUGAGUGAAGAAGGUUUUCGGAUCGUAAAGCUCUGUUGUUAGAGAAGAACGUUGGUAGGAGUGGAAAAUCUACCAAGUGACGGUAACUAACCAGAAAGGGACGGCUAACUACGUGCCAGCAGCCGGGGUAAUACGUAGGUCCCGAGCGUUGUCCGGAUUUAUUGGGCGUAAAGCGAGCGCAGGCGGUUCUUUAAGUCUGAAGUUAAAGGCAGUGGCUUAACCAUUGUACGCUUUGGAAACUGGAGGACUUGAGUGCAGAAGGGGAGAGUAGAAUUCCAUGUGUAGCGGUGAAAUGCGUAGAUAUAUGGAGGAACACCGGUGGCGAAAGCGGCUCUCUGGUCUGUAACUGACGCUGAGGCUCGAAAGCGUGGGGAGCAAACAGG